rnacentral:lncRNA from 1 species
GAGACAGAGUCUCACUGUGUCACCCAGGCUGGAGUGCAGUAGCACAAUCUUGGCUCACUGCAACCUCCACCUCCCGGGUUCAGGUGGUUCUCCUGCCUCAGCCUCCUGAGUAGCUGGGAUUACAGGCACCCACCACCACGCCUGGCUAAUUUUUGUAUGUUUAGUAUAGACAGGGUUUCACCAUGUUGGCCAGGCUGGUCUCGAACUCCUGACCUCAGAUGAUCCACCCACCUCAGCCUCCCAAAGUGCUGGGAUUACAGGCAAAUGGACUGCUUGAGCUCAGGAAUUUGAAACCAGCCUGGGCAACAUGGAGAAAUCUCAACUAUAUAAAAAAUACAAAAAAUGAGCCAGGCAUGGUGGCAUGCACCUGUGGUGACAACUACUGGAAAGGCUGAGGUAGGAGGAUCACUUGAGCCCAGAAGGCCAAGGCUGCAGUGAGCCAAAAUUAUACCAUGGGACUCCAGCCCAGCAACAGAGUGAUACCCUCCCUCCCUCCCCUCCAUCAAGAAAAGGAAAAUGGUCCAAAACUCUAAGUAGAUAUAGUCCAAAAAGAAAAGCAAACUGAUUUUGUCCUUUCUUUUCACCUUCAGUAAAUUUGUGAAAUGUGAUUUACUGUACAAUUAAUUAUAGUAUGGUUUUACUGUUUCAAAUGUAUUCUCUGGGCUUCAAUUUCCCUAAAAUUAAGCAAAGAGAAUUUGCUAUAUGAGCUGCAUGUGCCCCCAAGUAAUUACAUUCCAUAUUGCUAUAUCUGUAGGUUGAGCCAUAUAAAUACAACAGUAUUCAACUGUUUUGGACUCACAAGUAUGCUAAUUUCAAAUGGUUCAACCUUACUAAAUCUCUUAAAUUUUAUUUUCCCCUAUAGACUAUGUUUGGCACCAAGCGGCUUUUGUUUUCUUUUUUUUUUCUGAGAGGGAGUCUCACUGUGUCACCCAGGCAGGAGUGCAGUGGCACAAUCUUGGCUCACUGCAACCUCUGCCUCCUGGGUUCAAGCAGUUCUCCUGCCUCAGCCUCCCAAGUAGCUGGGAUUACAGGCACACGCCACCACGCCCGGCUAAUUUUUGUAUUUUUAGUAGAGAUAGGGUUUCAUUGUGUUGGCCAGGCUGGUCUCGAACUCCUGACCUCAGAUGAUCUGCCAGCCUUGGCCUUCCAAAGUGCUGGGAUUAUAGGCAUGAGCCACCACACCCAGCCUAUUUUCUUAAAAUAGAGCAAAAUGUUUAACAUUAUUAUGAAAGCCAGUGAUGAGAGCCAGUUCUCAAUUGACAUUCAGGACUGAAUACACUUUAUCAGACAUUUUUUAAAGCAAAGAAAAAGAUGAUACUCUGAUAUGGAAACCCUCCUAAAUUACUAUUAAUAUUUCACAAUUCAUAUUUUGGAAUACUCGCAGAAUUUGUACUAGCCCAUUCAGCUUUAUGAUCCCACUUAUUAUCAGCUUAUAGUCUGUGGCCUAAGUUAUAGUUUUCACCACCUGCCUACUAUGUAUCAGGCCCUGUCCCAAUCCUUCAAAUAAGAUGAACAGCAUAUGGACCUGCUUUUGAAGAGCUUUCAAUCUGGUUAUGUAAACAAGAGCUCAACAUCCUUGGCUUUCCUGAUUUGCUAGAAAAUCUAGAGCAAUGCUACCCAAAGUAUGGUCUACAUAUCAGUGCCAGACCACAAACUUCACUACCAGUCCACCAUGAGGUAAUUAUACAAACUGAAAGUAAAUAUUUAGAAACUUUCAUGGAAAAAUGACUAUUUUUAUGUCAAUUAACCUAAUAAAAUAAUCGGAUUGUAUGUUUUUAUGUAUUUUUGGUGAGGAAUUGAACAUUUUUUUAAAAAACAAAACUGGUCCUCAACAGACUGCUUCUUAAAUGUAAGAAGCACUGCUGUGAAGGUAGACAGAUUGGACAGUUCUGCUAUCUUUGCAACUUAGCUCUUCUGCAUUUGAAAGUUAAAAUAUUCGUUUCAUAUUAGACUUCAUCAACUGGCCCCAUUUCCACUAUAAUAAAGAUCCUGGUUACAUUUGAUAAGGGAAAAAGGACACCAAGAAGAAAAUAAGAUGCUGGCUAUGGAAGUCAGGAAGAUAAAAGUUACUAAAAAUAAGAAAAGAGAAAAAAUGUUACUGCUCUUCAUGGAAGAGAAAGGAAAAUACUUCAAGUUGACGGUAAAUUUUUAAAAACCACUGUUGUGUAUGCCCGGGUCUUCUUAGAUAAAUAGAAGUGAAAUGAAAUACAUUUUAAAGGCAAAUUCAUAUUUCCUAUUAUUAGAUUUAAUAUACAACCAACUAGUGUUUCAAUUGGGUAUUACUGCCAUAUUCUGCAUGCUAAUUUAACAAAUUUACAUAUUUUAAAA